rnacentral:rRNA from 1 species
ACGAACGCUGGCGGCGUGCUUAACACCUGCAAGUCGAACGGAAAGGCCCCUUUGGGGGUACUCGAGUGGCGAACGGGUGAGUAACACGUGAGUAACCUGCCCUUGACUUCGGGAUAACUUCAGGAAACUGGGGCUAAUACCGGAUAGGAAUCCUUGCUGCAUGGUGGGGGUUGGAAAGCUUCGGCGGUUUUGGAUGGACUCGCGGCUUAUCAGCUUGUUGGUGGGGUAGUGGCUUACCAAGGCUUUGACGGGUAGCCGGCCUGAGAGAGCGACCGGCCACAUUGGGACUGAGAUACGGCCCAGACUCCUACGGGAGGCAGCAGUGGGGAAAAUUGCACAAUGGGCGGAAGCCUGAUGCAGCAACGCCGCGUGCGGGAUGACGGCCUUCGGGUUGUAAACCGCUUUCAGCAGGGGCGAAGCUUGUGGUGACGGUACCUGCAGAAGAAGCACCGGCUAACUACGUG